AGAUCAGCAAGUCUUCUAUAGGUUGUCUAGUAAAAAAACAACCCUUUACCAACUUAGGCUCUUUGGGAGAAUAAAGACCACACUCCGCAGUGGGUCAUAUCACUAAACAUAUAGCCCAUUACUAUUUUGUGGCCUACAUU